rnacentral:rRNA from 1 species
UACGGAGGGGACUAGCGUUGUUCGGAAUUACUGGGCGUAAAGCGCACGUAGGCGGAUUGUUUAAGUCAGGGGUGAAAUCCCGAGGCUCAACCUCGGAACUGCCUUUGAUACUGGCAAUCUCGAGUCCGGAAGAGGUGAGUGGAAUUCCUAGUGUAGAGGUGAAAUUCGUAGAUAUUAGGAAGAACACCAGUGGCGAAGGCGACUCGCUGCCGUAGUG